rnacentral:rRNA from 1 species
GUUGAACGGCCACAUUGGGACUGAGACACGGCCCAGACUCCUACGGGAGGCAGCAGUGGGGAAUAUUGCACAAUGGGGGAAACCCUGAUGCAGCGACGCCGCGUGGAGGAAGAAGGUCUUCGGAUUGUAAACUCCUGUUGUUGAGGAAGAUAAUGACGGUACUCAACAAGGAAGUGACGGCUAACUACGUGCCAGCAGCCGCGGUAAAACGUAGGUCACAAGCGUUGUCCGGAAUUACUGGGUGUAAAGGGAGCGCAGGCGGGAGAACAAGUUGGAAGUGAAAUCCAUGGGCUCAACCCAUGAACUGCUUUCAAAACUGUUUUUCUUGAGUAGUGCAGAGGUAGGCGGAAUUCCCGGUGUAGCGGUGGAAUGCGUAGAUAUCGGGAGGAACACCAGUGGCGAAGGCGGCCUACUGGGCACCAACUGACGCUGAGGCUCGAAAGUGUGGGUAGCAAACAGGAUUAGAUACCCUGGUAGUCCACACCGUAAACGAUGAUUACUAGGUGUUGGAGGAUUGACCCCUUCAGUGCCGCAGUUAACACAAUAAGUAAUCCACCUGGGGAGUACGACCGCAAGGUUGAAACUCAAAGGAAUUGACGGGGGCCCGCACAAGCAGUGGAGUAUGUGGUUUAAUUCGACGCAACGCGAAGAACCUUACCAAGUCUUGACAUCCCUUGACGAUGCUGGAAACAGUAUUUCUCUUCGGAGCAAGGAGACAGGUGGUGCAUGGUUGUCGUCAGCUCGUGUCGUGAGAUGUUGGGUUAAGUCCCGCAACGAGCGCAACCCUUAUGGUCAGUUACUACGCAAGAGGACUCUGGCCAGACUGCCGUUGACAAAACGGAGGAAGGUGGGGAUGACGUCAAAUCAUCAUGCCCUUUAUGACUUGGGCUACACACGUACUACAAUGGCGUUAAACAAAGAGAAGCAAGACCGCGAGGUGGAGCAAAACUCAGAAACAACGUCCCAGUUCGGACUGCAGGCUGCAACUCGCCUGCACGAAGUCGGAAUUGCUAGUAAUCGUGGAUCAGCAUGCCACGGUGAAUACGUUCCCGGGCCUUGUACACACCGCCCGUCACACCAUGAGAGCCGGGGGGACCCGAAGUCGGUAGUCUAACCGCAAGGAGGACGCCGCCGAAGGUAAAACUGGUGAUUGGGGUGAAGUCGUAACAAGGUAGCCGUAGGAGAACCUGCGGCUG